rnacentral:rRNA from 1 species
UGGAUAACUGUAGUAAUUCUAGAGCUAAUACAUGCCACUAUGCCCUGACCCGCGAGGGAACGGGUGGAUUUAUUAGAACAGAACCAACCGGUUGUGGCCUUGGUCACUUCCGUUGCACUCUGUGAUGACUCUGGAUAACUUCACUGAUCGCAGUCGGCCUUGUGUCGGCGACGGAUCUUUCAAAUGUCUGCCCUAUCAAUUUUCGAUGGUAGGUGACCUGCCUACCAUGGUGAUAACGGGUAACGGGGAAUCAGGGUUCGAUUCCGGAGAGGGAGCCUGAGAAACGGCUACCACUUCCAAGGAAGGCAGCAGGCGCGCAAAUUACCCAAUCCCGGCACGGGGAGGUAGUGACGAAAAAUACGGAUACGGGACUCAUCAGAGGCUCCGUAAUUCGAAUGAGUACACUUUAAAUCCUUUAACGAGGAUCAACUGGAGGGCAAGUCUGGUGCCAGCAGCCGCGGUAACUCCAGCUCCAGAAGCGUAUAUUAAAGUUGUUGCAGUUAAAAAGCUCGUAGUUGGAUCUGGGUCGCMUGGCUACAUGCUGCGCUUGUAUUUCCAAUCUGGUUACGACCGGAGCGGAUUUGUGAGUCAGUGUCGUGGUUGUGCAAUCUUUCUGCCGUGUCUGGUUUACAGGUGCUGGCUAUCGGUGGGCUCGUCUCGCCGUUUAGUUGGCAUGCUUCUCGAUGCCU